ACCCCUCCUGUCUAGACAUCCAAGAACUGGUGGCCCCUGUCCCUAGUCCAGGGAGAGCAGCAAGAGAAAGAAAGAAGCAAACGAAAUUCCUGAAUGGAUAAGAGAUGCUACGUCAGCGGUACUGGAGCCGCAUCCUCCACUCCACGAGAAGAGAAGAGCUAGGAGAGACCAGCGGGCGGUAGCUGCGGCGAGUGGCCUCUCCGUGCGGCACAGAGGCAAGACAUGGCCAACAUCUUAAUGCAGCGGAGGGAGGCUGGAAGGAGAGCCGACACCAGGGAAGAGGGAAAUGGCUCUGACUCGGGACUCUUGGGCCUCUCCCCUGGUCUGCCUUAUUCCUCUCUGUCCCAGAGACUGGGGUUUAGGAGAAGAGCAAGUCUGGGGGGACUUUGGGGUGAGGGGAAACAUCCCAUGUUUCUAGGAAAGUGGAAACGAGAAUUGGGAGUGGGUGGGAACCAUUUUACAGAAUUUAUAUUAAUUUCAUUCUCCUUCACUGUGUUCCCACGAGUGGAAAGGGAGCGAGGGGCAGACUCGGGCUGGGGGACCUCUGAUUCAGCUUCCUUCACAUUUACCCUAACAUGGUUGCUCUGUCUUGGAGUGGAUUUUGUUUUUUGUUUUAAUUUUUUAAAAGAGUACCAGGAUGCAAGGAAGAGGCCACCACUCUCCUGCCCUGAGUCCCCACCUACACUGUAAUUUUGGCACACAGUCUGUAAUUAUGUGGAACAGGAGAGAUUGGAACAGAAAAGACCAGUGCUGGUGCCCCAGAGGUUAGGUUCCUAGGAGGGGCUGAGGCUGUCAGCGGCCAUUCAUUUGCACACACAUGUCCCACGUACACUGGGUUGGCUUCUUACAGUUGCCCUGGGCACUGUGAGUCUGGGGUGUCUGGGCAGCAAUAGGGACCCCUGAGCUCUCUUUGAAUCAGGUCAAAGAAGUGGGAGGCUCCCCCCUGCUGUAGCACCUGUCUUCUCUCAGGUCAGUUGAUGGGAGAGGAGGGUCCUCUUUGAUAAUAGUUUCAGACUGGGGCCCCCCCACAACCAAUGAAGGGGUGGUGUCGUGGGGCUGGGGCUGCAAAGGAGCUGGGCCAUUUGAGCACUGAGUGUGGGAAGUGGGGAAGAGGUUUGCAGAACACUCCUAGAAAGCCAGCUUGGGUGGAAGGCCCAUUUCUACUCCUCAGCUCCCCCUGCCCCCAAAUUCUUCUGCAUUUAAUUUCUCCCUGACUUAAAUAAUAAAAUAAUCAACGUGGAAUUUCAUUAGAGUGUUUUUAGGAGUUACCUAUGUUGUUCCCCAAACCCUAAAUUUAAUCUGAAUAUAAAAAA
rnacentral:lncRNA from 1 species